GAUGAACGCUGGCGGCGUGCCUAAUACAUGCAAGUCGAGCGAACGGACGAGAAGCUUGCUUCUCUGAUGUUAGCGGCGGACGGGUGAGUAACACGUGGAUAACCUACCUAUAAGACUGGGAUAACUUCGGGAAACCGGAGCUAAUACCGGAUAAUAUUUUGAACCGCAUGGUUCAAAAGUGAAAGACGGUCUUGCUGUCACUUAUAGAUGGAUCCGCGCUGCAUUAGCUAGUUGGUAAGGUAACGGCUUACCAAGGCAACGAUGCAUAGCCGACCUGAGAGGGUGAUCGGCCACACUGGAACUGAGACACGGUCCAGACUCCUGCGGGAGGCAGCAGUAGGGAAUCUUCCGCAAUGGGCGAAAGCCUGACGGAGCAACGCCGCGUGAGUGAUGAAGGUCUUCGGAUCGUAAAACUCUGUUAUUAGGGAAAAACAUAUGUGUAAGUAACUGUGCACAUCUUGACGGUACCUAAUCAGAAAGCCACGGCUAACUACGUG
rnacentral:rRNA from 1 species